GUUGCUUAUUGUUGUGUGGAGUUGCUUAUUGUUUGCUUAUUGUUGUGUGGAGUUGCUUAUUGUUGUGUGGAGUUGCUUAUUGUGUGUUGCUGUGUAGAGUUGUUGUGUGAAUUGCUUAUUGUUGUGUGGAGUUGCUUAUUGUUGUGUGGAGUUG